UACGUAGGGGGCUAGCGUUGUCCGGAAUUAUUGGGCGUAAAGGGCUCGUAGGCGGUCUGUUGCGUCGGGAGUGAAAACUUACAGCUUAACUGUGAGCGUGCUUUCGAUACGGGCAGACUUGAGGCAUUCAGGGGAGAACGGAAUUCCUGGUGUAGCGGUGAAAUGCGCAGAUAUCAGGAGGAACACCGAUGGCGAAGGCAGGUCUCUGGGCCACUACUGACGCUGAGAAGCGAAAGCAUGGGGAGCGAACAGG
rnacentral:rRNA from 1 species